CACGUAGGGGGCAAGCGUUGUCCGGAUUUAUUGGGCGUAAAGAGCUCGUAGGCGGUUCGGUAAGUCGGGUGUUAAACCCCCAGGCUCAACCUGGGGACGCCACUCGAUACUGCUGUGACUAGAGUCCGGUAGGGGAGCGUGGAAUUCCUGGUGUAGCGGUGAAAUGCGCAGAUAUCAGGAGGAACACCAGCGGCGAAGGCGGCGCUCUGGGCCGGUACUGACACUGAGACGCGAAAGCGUGGGGAGCGAACAGG
rnacentral:rRNA from 1 species